rnacentral:rRNA from 1 species
UACGUAGGGCGCAAGCGUUAUCCGGAAUUAUUGGGCGUAAAGAGCUCGUAGGCGGUUUGUCGCGUCUGCCGUGAAAGUCCGGGGCUCAACUCCGGAUCUGCGGUGGGUACGGGCAGACUAGAGUGAUGUAGGGGAGACCGGAAUUCCUGGUGUAGCGGUGAAAUGCGCAGAUAUCAGGAGGAACACCGAUGGCGAAGGCAGGUCUCUGGGCAUUAACUGACGCUGAGGAGCGAAAGCUAGGGGAGCAAACAGG